GUAGGGAAUCUUCCACAAUGGACGCAAGUCUGAUGGAGCAACGCCGCGUGAGUGAAGAAGGUUUUCGGAUCGUAAAGCUCUGUUGUUGGUGAAGAAGGAUAGAGGCAGUAACUGGUCUUUAUUUGACGGUAAUCAACCAGAAAGUCACGGCUAACUACGUGCCAC
rnacentral:rRNA from 1 species